rnacentral:rRNA from 1 species
UACGUAGGGGGCGAGCGUUGUCCGGAAUCACUGGGCGUAAAGGGCGCGUAGGCGGUUUAUCAAGUCAAUUGUGAAAGACCCGGGCUUAACCUGGGAAGUGCAGUUGAAACUGGUAAACUUGAGUGCAGUAGAGGAAAGCGGAAUUCCUGGUGUAGCGGUGAAAUGCGUAGAGAUCAGGAGGAACACCGGUGGCGAAGGCGGCUUUCUGGGCUGUAACUGACGCUGAGGCGCGAAAGCGUGGGUAGCGAACAGGAUUAGAUACCUCUGUAGUCCCUGAG